CCUACGGGUGGCUGCAGUGGGGAAUAUUGGACAAUGGGGGGAACCCUGAUCCAGCCAUGCCGCGUGUGUGAAGAAGGCCCUCGGGUUGUAAAGCACUUUCAGUGAGGAAGAACGCCUGGUGGUUAAUACCCAUCAGGAAAGACAUCACUCACAGAAGAAGCACCGGCUAACUCCGUGCCAGCAGCCGCGGUAAUACGGAGGGUGCGAGCGUUAAUCGGAAUUACUGGGCGUAAAGCGCGCGUAGGUGGCUUGAUAAGCCGGUUGUGAAAGCCCCGGGCUCAACCUGGGAACGGCAUCCGGAACUGUCAAGCUAGAGUGCAGGAGAGGAAGGUAGAAUUCCCGGUGUAGCGGUGAAAUGCGUAGAGAUCGGGAGGAAUACCAGUGGCGAAGGCGGCCUUCUGGACUGACACUGACACUGAGGUGCGAAAGCGUGGGUAGCAAAUAGGAUUAGAUACCCUGGUAGUC
rnacentral:rRNA from 1 species